rnacentral:rRNA from 1 species
GAGACCUCAGGUCAGGCGGGGCUACCCGCUGAGUUUAAGCAUAUCAAUAAGCGGGAGG